GACGAACGCUGGCGGCGUGCUUAACACAUGCAAGUCGAACGGAAAGGCCCAUCUGGCUGGGUACUCCAGUGGCGAACGGAGGAGUAACACGAGGGUGAUCUGCCAAGAACGCUGGGAUUACCCGGGGAAACUGCGAAUACUACUGAAUAGGACUCCGGACUGCAUGCUAGGGGGUGAAAAGCUUUUGCGGUGUGGGAUGGGCCCGCGGCCUAUCAGCUUGUUGGUGGGGUGAUGGCCUACCAAGGCUACGACGGGUAGCCGGCCUGAGAGGGUGACCGGCCACACUGGGACUGAGAUACGGCCCAGACUCCUACGGGAGGCAGCAGUGGGGAAUAUUGCACAAUGGGCGCAAGCCUGAUGCAGCGACGCCGCGUGGGGGAUGACGGCCUUCGGGUUGUAAACCUCUUUCAGCAUCGACGAAGCGCAAGUGACGGUAGAUGCAGAAGAAGCACCGGCCAACUACGUGCCAGCCGCCGCAGUAA
rnacentral:rRNA from 1 species